rnacentral:rRNA from 1 species
AUUGAACGCUGGCGGCAUGCCUUACACAUGCAAGUCGAACGGCAGCACGGGUGCUUGCACCUGGUGGCGAGUGGCGAACGGGUGAGUAAUAUAUCGGAACGUACCUUAUUGUGGGGGAUAACGCAGCGAAAGCUGUGCUAAUACCGCAUAAUCCCUUAGGGGGAAAGCGGGGGACCGUAAGGCCUCGCGCAAUUAGAGCGGCCGAUACCUGAUUAGCUGGUUGGUGAGGUAAAGGCUCACCAAGGCGACGAUCAGUAGCUGGUCUGAGAGGACGAUCAGCCACACUGGGACUGAGACACGGCCCAGACUCCUACGGGAGGCAGCAGUGGGGAAUUUUGGACAAUGGGGGCAACCCUGAUCCAGCAAUGCCGCGUGAGUGAAGAAGGCCUUCGGGUUGUAAAGCUCUUUUGUCAGGGAAGGAACAGCAGCUCUAACACAGUAUGCGAAUGACGGUACCUGAAGAAUAAGCACCGGCUAACUACGUGCCAGCCGCCGCCGUAA